CUGGGGACUCUGGCCCUGCACCCCGAUGGGCGCCGAGUGCUGGAGGCCGCCUGGGCCGCCGCCCCUGGCCCUACCCGUGCAGACAUGGCUGCCGAGUUGGCAUCGCAGCUGCAGGAGCUGCAGCGGGACCUGAACGGCCGCCGCGUCGCCCACGCCUGGAGCCUCCAGCUCUUCCUGCGGAACCGCCACGAGUGGCUGCGGCGCUACGGCCGCCCUGGCACCACAGAGACACCAUAGAGAUGCCAAAGAUACCAUAGAGACACCAUAGAGAUGCCAGAAAUGCCAUAGAGACUCCAGGAGACACCACAGAUAUGCCAGGAGAUACCACAGAGAUGCCAAAGCAUAGAGACACUUGGCGACGCCAGAGAGACACAAUAGCGAUGCUGGAGACACCAUAGAGAUGCCUGGAGGACCUGUGGGGAGCACACAGUGCCAACUAUGCGUCUCAUCUGCACUAGGGGGGCAACCAUAGAGUCCCUGGAGGACUGAUCAUAGAGACCUUGGAGGACUCUGGCAUCUACGGAGUGACUAUAGAGCCUUUAGAGGACUGGUCUCUAAAGAGCAACCAUAGAGAUUUUGGAGGAGUGAGUGACCAUAGAUACCUUGGAGGACUAAUCAUAGAGUCCUUGUAGGACUCCAGCCUCAAUGGAGCAACCAUAGAGUCCCUGGAGGACGAGGACCGAGCGCCACAGAGGAGCCCUCCAGGCCCCUUCUGGCUGUGACAACCAUAGAGUCCUUGGGCCGAGGAGGCUCCACGGGCGACACUCUGGUCACCCUUCCCCAGCCUUGUCUGCUCCUGUGCCCUUUUUUGUAAUAAAAUGACCCCAUUUUCU